rnacentral:rRNA from 1 species
AACGAACGCUGGCGGCAGGCUUAACACAUGCAAGUCGAACGCCCCGCAAGGGGAGUGGCGCACGGGUGAGUAACGCGUGGGAAUAUGCCCUUCGGUUCGGAAUAACACAGGGAGACUUGUGCUAAUACCGGAUACGAUCUACGGAUGAAAGAUUUAUCGCCGAGGGAGUAGCCCGCGUAGGAUUAGCUAGUUGGUGAGGUAAUGGCUCACCAAGGCGACGAUCCUUAGCUGGUCUGAGAGGAUGAUCAGCCACACUGGGACUGAGACACGGCCCAGACUCCUACGGGAGGCAGCAGUGGGGAAUAUUGGACAAUGGAGGCAACUCUGAACCAGCCAUGCCGCGUGCAGGAUGACGGCCCUAUGGGUUGUAAACUGCUUUUAUACAAGAGAAAACCCUGGUACGUGUACCAGGUUGAUAGUAUUGUAAGAAUAAGCAUCGGCUAACUUCGUGCCAGCAGCC